GGGGUAUGCACUUCUUUUUGUGGGUUUUCCAUCUUCUGAUCUUGAAGUGGAAACACAAGACGAGGAUGAGGUAUACUGGCUUCAAUUUGGGAGAUAUUUUGCACGGGGUCCAAUUGUGAGUUGUUAAUCCUCUCGAUCUUCCGGUCAAAAAACAAUGUCGAUGAAGGCGUGUAGGAAAGAGAUGAUUAUGCAUUGUAGUUGUCACUCGGUGAUGAAUAAGCAAUGUAUAAUAUUUGAUUUUGGAGACCGAUCUACCGAGUAAGAGAGGGACUUUACGUUUUACAGUUGCCUUAUUUACACAUGAGGUGUUAGAUGGUGUUGGUAUUGUAAUUUGUUUCAACCUCAACGCACUGAGGACCUUAGAGAUAAUGUACAUGGAAGCAGGCUAGAUUUCAUAUCUUUUCCUUAUUCGCGUGGGCCUUUCAAAAGGGUCUAAGAUGGCAUGCAAAGCGACUCAGGAUAGAUGAAGAUGGAGAUGUAGCCGAUGAAUUCUUGGAGGAGGUCUUCCCAGAUAUGUCUGCCAGCAGGGAAAGCAGAAGGUUUGAAGUGAAAUCCGGUACGAGGCCAGCGAAAGUGAAGAGUCAGGCUAUAUCACAAGAUGGAAGAAUCCAACAGCGUGUGGAAUACCGAGGUAGAUAUGUGUGGAUAUGAGAUUCCUUGAGGAAGCUUAUCAGGUCUCCUUUUUGGUUUUCUUUUAUGAUCUAUUAAUUUUUGGAGUGAAUUUGUCAUCCUAGUUCUCUUGUGCUGAUAGUGUGGAACACUUGAGCCCAUUAUAUGAUUACAUAACAGGAUGUGGGUUAUCUGAAAUUGGCUUUUCAAGGCUCUGGGUUGCUCUACUGCUGAGCACAUAUUUAUCUGGGAACUAACACUGGUCAUGCAAGCUUGCAUGUAGGAGUUGGAAUGUGAACAU